rnacentral:lncRNA from 1 species
GUCAAAUUCUAACUGCAGAGAAUGAUCAGGAAAGAUCAAUUUGAGGAAAUAACAUUUGAGCUAGACUUUUAAGGAGGAGAAAGAGCCAGCUGCAGAAAGCCAACAAGAGGGGUGUUUGAUGCAAAGAAAAUCAUAAACCGACCCCCAGCUGGAAAUGAUCCUAACCUGUGGAAGCUCCUGAAUUGAGUGAGGGACUGGCCGGCAGGAGAGCAUAACACAGCUCAUCCUGACUGAUGCCACCAUUUCCAGAUAAGAGAAAUGCGACUGAGAAAGAUUAAGAUAUUUUCUUAAGAUUGGACAUUGUGUUCCUACCCAUUGUGCUUGCCUUAUAGUUGAAAGAGAGUUUAUUUAAGCACAGAGAUCAAGCAAGAGUGGAGCACAGGACACACUUUCAGGUUGCCUUGGGGACUGCUCUGUAGAACAAAAAAUCAAACUCAAGAUUUUAAGGAAAAAAAGUACAAGUGAAGAGAAGGCGUGAUUACCAAAGUUGUUGAUCUAAUUCUCAUUGAUUUACAGAAAUAACAGUGGCUAAUGAUCAGCUAUACAUUGUUGAAUUAUAGGAUGUAUGGCAUUUAAA